CGUCGACACAGAGUUUGAUCCUGGCUCGGAUUGAACGCUGGCGGCAUGCCUUACACAUGCAAGUCGAACGGCAGCAUGAUCUAGCUUGCUAGAUUGAUGGCGAGUGGCGAACGGGUGAGUAAUACAUCGGAACGUGCCCUGUAGUGGGGGAUAACUAGUCGAAAGAUUAGCUAAUACCGCAUACGACCUGAGGGUGAAAGUGGGGGACCGCAAGGCCUCAUGCUAUAGGAGCGGCCGAUGUCUGAUUAGCCAGUUGGUGAGGUAAAGGCUCACCAAGGCGACGAUCAGUAGCUGGUCUGAGAGGACGAUCAGCCACACUGGGACUGAGACACGGCCCAGACUCCUACGGGAAGCAGCAGUGGGGAAUUUUGGACAAUGGGCGAAAGCCUGAUCCAGCAAUGCCGCGUGUGUGAAGAAGGCCUUCGGGUUGUAAAGCACUUUUGUCCGGAAAGAAAUGGCUCUGGUUAAUACCUGGGGUCGAUGACGGUACCGGAAGAAUAAGGACCGGCUAACUACGUGCCAGCAGCCGCGGUAAUACGUAGGGUCCAAGCGUUAAUCGGAAUUACUGGGCGUAAAGCGUGCGCAGGCGGUUGUGCAAGACCGAUGUGAAAUCCCCGAGCUUAACUUGGGAAUUGCAUUGGUGACUGCACGGCUAGAGUGUGUCAGAGGGGGGUAGAAUUCCACGUGUAGCAGUGAAAUGCGUAGGGAUGUGGAGGAAUACCGAUGGCGAAGGCAGCCCCCUGGGAUAACACUGACGCUCAUGCACGAAAGCGUGGGGAGCAAACAGGAUUAGAUACCCUGGUAGUCCACGCCCUAAACGAUGUCAACUAGUUGUUGGGGAUUCAUUUCCUUAGUAACGUAGCUAACGCGUGAAGUUGACCGCCUGGGGAGUACGGUCGCAAGAUUAAAACUCAAAGGAAUUGACGGGGACCCGCACAAGCGGUUGGAUGGAUGUGGAUUAAUUCGAUGCAACGCGAAAAAACCUUACCCUACCCUUUGACAUGCCCACUAAACGAAAGCAGAAAAUGCAAUUAGGGUGGCUCAAAAAA
rnacentral:rRNA from 1 species